rfam:Allomyces macrogynus ATCC 38327 genomic scaffold supercont3.8, whole genome shotgun sequence.
GGGGUGUUGGCGCAACGGCAGCGCGUCCGACUCCAGAUCGGAAGGCUGGGAGUUCGAAUCUCUCACACCUCA